rnacentral:rRNA from 1 species
UACAGAGGCCACGAGCGUUAGGCGGAAUCACUGGGCUUAAAGCGUGUGUAGGUGGAUGAGUAAGUACCUUGUGAAAUCCCACGGCUCAACCGUGGAACUGCUUGGUAUACUGCUUGUCUUGAGGCACUCAGGGGCGAGCGGAACAGAUGGUGGAGCGGUGAAAUGCGUAGAUAUCAUCUGGAACGCCAAUGGUGAAGACAGCUCGCUGGGGGUGUACUGACACUGAGACACGAAAGCCAGGGGAGCAAACGGG